rnacentral:lncRNA from 1 species
UAAGCAGCGGAUCGUAGCUUUCCCAAAAGCAUAUAUCAAAGCUCUCAUUUUUCCUGUCAGUUUUGCCAGGCCAGCAUGUAGUUACCAUGCCUACCUAUUGUUAUCAAGGCUGCCCAAUCAACGAAAUAAGAAUUUCUUGGACCUAAGAGAGAAAUGUGUUCACCCAUGUUCUUCAUGGAAAUUUCCUCCAAAGACAGCAAGAUGCCAGGAAAAGAAAAAAGCUGCGUGAACACCUAAACAGACGGAGCCAUAGAGGAACUUUUGAGUGUAGUCAGGAGUCUCCAAGGCAAUCACUGUGAUUCCUGCCUCAUUGCUAUUCAUACCCUCUGCUGCCCUCCUGUGAAUGUGGGCAGGAACUGUGAGUUGUCUCUAGCCGACUGGGUCCAGCAGAUGCAAUGGAUGCCACAUUGAUAGCACAAGAUUGAAAUCCAUCUUUCUAGGGGAUUAAUUUCCUUGCUAGUUAUGAAGAAGCAAGAGACCAUGCUGAGCAAGAUCACAUGGUGAAGGACCUACAGGGAGCUUCCAGAGAACAGUCAACAAGGAUCUUCAGU